GGCGAGGUAGCUCAGUUGGUGAGAGCGUCGGAUUCAUAACCCGGAGGCCGGGAGUUCAAAUCUCCCUCUCGCUA
rnacentral:tRNA from 4 species